rnacentral:rRNA from 1 species
GAUGAACGCUGGCGGCGUGCCUAACACAUGCAAGUCGAGCGAGAUAAAUGUGAGUGGAGACUUCGGUCAAAGCGAUCAUUUUGAAAGCGGCGGACGGGUGAGUAACGCGUGAGCAAUCUGCCCCAUACAAAGGGAUACCCACUGGAAACGGUGAUUAAUACCUUAUAAGACCACGAAGUCGCCUGGCUUAGUGGCCAAAGAUUUAUCGGUAUGGGAUGAGCUCGCGUCUGAUUAGCUAGUUGGUGAGGUAAUGGAUCACCAAGGCGACGAUCAGUAGCCGACCUGAGAGGGUGAACGGCCACACUUGAACUGAGACACGGUCCAGACUCCUACGGGAGGCAGCAGUGGGGAAUAUUGCACAAUGGGCGCAAGCCUGAUGCAGCAACGCCGCGUGAAUGAUGAAGGCCUUCGGGUCGUAAAGUUCUGUCCUAAGGGAAGAAUACAGUGACGGUACCUUAGGAGGAAGCCCCGGCUAACUACGUGCCAGCCGCCGCAGUAA